UGCCCAGUGAUAAAUUUAACGGCCGCGGUACCCUAACCGUGCAAAGGUAGCAUAAUCACUUGUUCUUUAAAUAAGGACUUGUAUCAACGGCAUCACGAGGGUUCUACUGUCUCCUCUCUCCAAUCAGUGAAACUGAUCUCCCCAUGAAAAAGUGGGGAUAAACUUAUAAGACGAGAAGACCCCAUGGAGCUUUAAAACCUAUAGCAACCUAGCAAACACUUCCAUCUAGCUAUAAAAUAAUGCUCAAGGACUUUAGGUUGGGAGGACCACGGAGCACAAAAUAACCUCCGUAAUGAAAAGAAUAAGAUCUUUACCAAAGAGCCACAACUCUAAGAAUUAGAAAACUAACGUACAUGACCCGAUAUCGAUCAAUGAACUAAGUUACCCUGGGGAUAACAGCGCAAUCCACUCUGAGAGUUCAUAUCGACGAGCGGGCUUACGACCUCGAUGUUGGAUCAGGGUAUCCUGGUGGUGCAGCCGCUACCGAAGGUUCGUUUGUUCAACGAUUAAAACCCUACGUGAUCUGAGUUCAGAC
rnacentral:rRNA from 1 species